rnacentral:rRNA from 2 species
GGUCAAGUGAAUAAGCGCAUACGGUGGAUGCCUUGGCAGUCAGAGGCGAUGAAAGACGUGAUAGCCUGCGAUAAGCUUCGGGGAGUCGGCAAAUAGACUGUGAUCCGGAGAUCUCUGAAUGGGGGAACCCACCUGACAUAAGUCAGGUAUCUCACACUGAAUCCAUAGGUGUGAGAGGCGAACCAGGGGAACUGAAACAUCUAAGUACCCUGAGGAAAAGAAAUCAACCGAGAUUCCCUAAGUAGUGGCGAGCGAACGGGGACUAGCCCUUAAGCUCAAUUGAUUUUAACCGAACGCUCUGGAAAGUGCGGCCAUAGUGGGUGAUAGCCCCGUAGGUGAAAGGAUCUUUUGAGUGAAAUCGAGUAGGACGGCGCACGUGAAACGUUGUCUGAAUAUGGGGGGACCAUCCUCCAAGGCUAAAUACUACUGACUGACCGAUAGUGAACCAGUACCGUGAGGGAAAGGCGAAAAGAACCCCGGAGAGGGGAGUGAAAUAGAACCUGAAACCGUAUGCGUACAAGCAGUGGGAGCC